rnacentral:lncRNA from 1 species
GUGGCAUAGUGAUGAUGUUACCAGUAGAGAAGGAUCCCAGCCGCACAAAGAACCACGUUCCGCUGAGCUUUGUAGAUCUGAACACACAAGUAAACUGGUAAGUUUGCUGAGCUAAAACAUUUUAGGGAAGAAGAACAUAAGCCACGAAUAAUGUGUGGCAAUAGAUUCAACAGAUAAUAAACGCAGAACUAACAAAAAAAGGCUCAGAUCAGAGUUUGGGAAACAUAGGGAAUCAGAAGUGGUUAGUUAGUUAAAUUCCAUUAACAAUCAAACCAACAUAUUCUCACAAGAAGAGAGCAAAAAUAGAAAAUGAAACCAGUUUCAUUCCAAUAAACCUAUAGAUCCAGACGGUUACACUAAUAUAAGAUUCCUUGCAACAUUGUAAUACUCAAUCUCUAUAUGUACUGAACUAACUUAUAGCAAAUAACUCGAUCCUCCGAUGUUUUAAGCUUCAACUAAACAAAGAUAGACAUGACCACAAACACGCUUUGACUCACAUGAGGAAACAAUCUUAAAACAGAAAGUAUUAGAUGAUAUACUUACGGAUUUCUCGUAGCGAUCACGCUCGGUGGCAGUGCAAACCUCAGAUGAGCACAUUAGUCUAUGCUCAUUCUUCCAGUAAAGAUCUGAAACAAAGUAACCAAAUUUCAUAUUACCAAAAAUCACUCAACCUAACUAUAAAUGAAUUGACAGAGAGGGAGAGAUCACCGAGGAGUUGAAAUCCAGCGAAGGCGACGAUGGAGGCGGCAGGCUGGAGUAUGAGCGAGACAAGUGACACGACGCGUUUCUUCACGAGCAUAGGGUAAGGUAGAGUCAAAAUGACUGCGAUCGCGACCUCGGCAGCAACCACAUACGACAGAAUCAGCCAUUGCAAUGCCAUUUUUGUUCUUCUUCUUCCUCCUCUAGAUCUCUCUCUCUCUCUCUCGGGCUUCCUUUUUAAUGAUCUGGAUUCUCCGCGCGACGGACACGUUAUCUACGCCGUGUGCGAGUGCCGGGCGGUUUUUGACUUUUUUUUUUAUCUUUAAUGGUUUUUACUCAAUGGGCCUUUAGGCCCAAUAGGCUAGCAUUUAUGUAAAUCAUUGGUAUUAACUACCCGGUUUGGUGGUUAUACAGGUCUGUUCGAUUUUGGAGGUCCUUAAUUUUGAACGGUUUGACUUUGGCUAUUUUCCGGUUUACCAAAGUGGGAGGUAAGGCAAAAUCAGGUGACGAUAGCAAACUCUGCCGUAGCCACAUAUUUGAAUUUUUUUUUCUGUUUUGUAACUUACACUUAUUGUUAAAGUUUCAGUUUUUUUUCUUGGAUCUAUUCACAUAAUCUUCCUAAUUUCUUAAUUACUAUGUUUGUUGGAUCCUAAAAAGACUAGUUUAAGUUCAGUCUUAAGUCUUUAUCUAUUCUCAAAUUGUAUGACAUAAUUGUCA